GACGAACGCUGGCGGCGUGCUUAACACAUGCAAGUCGAACGGAAAGGCCCUGCUUUUGUGGGGUGCUCGAGUGGCGAACGGGUGAGUAACACGUGAGUAACCUGCCCUUGACUUUGGGAUAACUUCAGGAAACUGGGGCUAAUACCGGAUAGGAGCUCCUGCUGCAUGGUGGGGGUUGGAAAGUUUCGGCGGUUGGGGAUGGACUCGCGGCUUAUCAGCUUGUUGGUGGGGUAGUGGCUUACCAAGGCUUUGACGGGUAGCCGGCCUGAGAGGGUGACCGGCCACAUUGGGACUGAGAUACGGCCCAGACUCCUACGGGAGGCAGCAGGGGGGAAUAUUGCACAAUGGGCGGAAGCCUGAUGCAGCAACGCCGCGUUCGGGAUGACGGCCUUUGGGGUGUAAACCGCUUUCGCCUGUGACGAAGCGGGAGUGACGGUAACGGGUAAAGAAGCACCGGCUAACUACGUG
rnacentral:rRNA from 1 species